GAUGAACGCUGGCGGCGUGCUUAACACAUGCAAGUCGAACGAAGCAUAAGAGUUGCUUGCAACACUUAUGACUUAGUGGCGGACGGGUGAGUAACGCGUGGGUAACCUACCCGUACAGGGGAUAACAGUUAGAAAUGACUGCUAAUACCGCAUAAGCACACACUGUCACAUGACAGAGGGUGAAAAGAUUUAUCGGUACAGGAUGGGCCCGCGUCUGAUUAGCUAGUUGGUAAGGUAAAGGCUUACCAAGGCGACGAUCAGUAGCUGGCUUGAGAGAGUGAACGGCCACAUUGGAACUGAGACACGGUCCAA
rnacentral:rRNA from 1 species